UUACGGGACGCAGCAGUGAGGAAUAUUGCACAAUGGGGGGAACCCUGAUGCAGCAACGCCGCGUGGAGGAUGACGCAUUUCGGUGUGUAAACUCCUUUUAUAUGUCAAGAAAAUGACGGUAGCAUAUGAAUAAGCACCGGCUAACUCCGUGCCAGCAGCCGCGGUAAUACGGAGGGUGCAAGCGUUACUCGGAAUCACUGGGCGUAAAGGACGCGUAGGCGGGUUGGAAAGUCAGGUGUGAAAUCCUACAGCUUAACUGUAGAACUGCACUUGAAACUUCUAAUCUAGAGUAUGGGAGGGGGAGAUGGAAUUAGUGGUGUGGGGGUAAAAUCCGUAGAUAUCACUAGGAAUACCUAAAGCGAAGGCGAUCUCCUGGAACAUUACUGACGCUAAGGCGUGAAAGCGUGGGGAGCAAACAGGAUUAGAUACCCCAGUUAGUC
rnacentral:rRNA from 1 species